rnacentral:rRNA from 1 species
AUGAACGCUAGCGACAGGCUUAACACAUGCAAGUCGAGGGGCAGCGAGGGAGUGGCAACACUUCUGUCGGCGACCGGCGCACGGGUGAGUAACGCGUAUGCAACCUGCCCUUCACAGGGGGAUAACCGGGAGAAAUUCCGACUAAUACCGCAUACGUCCUCCGGGGGCAUCCCCGGGGGAUGAAAGAGUUAUCGGUGAAGGAUGGGCAUGCGUGAUAUUAGGUAGUUGGCGGGGCAACGGCCCACCAAGCCCACGAUAUCUAGGGGUUCUGAGAGGAAGGUCCCCCACAUUGGUACUGAGACACGGACCAAACUCCUACGGGAGGCAGCAGUGAGGAAUAUUGGUCAAUGGACGAGAGUCUGAACCAGCCAAGUCGCGUGAAGGAAGACGGAUCUAUGGUUUGUAAACUUCUUUAGUGCGGGAACAAAGCGGCGUCGAGACGCCGGAUGAGUGUACCGCAAGAAUAAGCAUCGGCUAACUCCGUGCCAGCAGCCGCGGUAAUACGGAGGAUGCGAGCGUUAUCCGGAUUUAUUGGGUUUAAAGGGAGCGCAGGCUGCGAGGCAAGUCAGCGGUCAAAUGUCGGGGCUCAACCCCGGCCUGCCGUUGAAACUGUUUUGCUAGAGUUCGAGUGAGGUAUGCGGAAUGCGUUGUGUAGCGGUGAAAUGCAUAGAUAUGACGCAGAACUCCGAUUGCGAAGGCAGCAUACCAACUCGCGACUGACGCUGAGGCUCGAAAGCGUGGGUAUCGAACAGGAUUAGAUACCCUGGUAGUCCACGCAGUAAACGAUGAAUACUAACUGUUCGGAGGGCGACCUCUGAGUGGUAAAGCGAAAGCGUUAAGUAUUCCACCUGGGGAGUACGCCGGCAACGGUGAAACUCAAAGGAAUUGACGGGGGCCCGCACAAGCGGUGGAGUAUGUGGUUUAAUUCGAAGCAACGCGAAGAACCUUACCAGGUCUUGACAUCGAGUGACAGACUAAGAGAUUAGUCCUUCCCUUCGGGGACACAAAGACAGGUGGUGCAUGGUUGUCGUCAGCUCGUGUCGUGAGAUGUUGGGUUAAGUCCCGCAACGAGCGCAACCCCCGCGUCCAGUUGCCAGCGAUUAGAGUCGGGCACUCUGGACGGACUGCCGGCGCAAGCCGCGAGGAAGGCGGGGAUGACGUCAAAUCAGCACGGCCCUUACGUCCGGGGCGACACACGUGUUACAAUGGCGUGGAACAGAGGGAAGCCACCUGGCGACAGGGAGCGGAACCCGAAAACACGUCUCAGUUCGGAUUGGAGUCUGCAACUCGACUCCAUGAAGCUGGAUUCGCUAGUAAUCGCGCAUCAGCCAUGGCGCGGUGAAUACGUUCCCGGGCCUUGUACACACCGCCCGUCAAGCCAUGGGAGCCGGGAGUGCCUGAAGGCCGUAACCGCAAGGAGCGGUCAAGGGUAAGACUGGUGACUGGGGCU